AGAUUGAACGCUGGCGGCAGGCCUAACACAUGCAAGUCGAGCGGUAGAGAGGUGCUUGCACCUCUUGAGAGCGGCGGACGGGUGAGUAAUGCCUAGGAAUCUGCCUAGUGGUGGGGGAUAACGUUCGGAAACGGACGCUAAUACCGCAUACGUCCUACGGGAGAAAGCGGGGGACCUUCGGGCCUCGCGCCAUUAGAUGAGCCUAGGUCGGAUUAGCUAGUUGGUGAGGUAAUGGCUCACCAAGGCGACGAUCCGUAACUGGUCUGAGAGGAUGAUCAGUCACACUGGAACUGAGACACGGUCCAGACUCCUACGAGGCGA
rnacentral:rRNA from 1 species